GGCUCAGGACGAACGCUGGCGGCGUGCCUAAUACAUGCAAGUCGAACGGUCUUUCUAUGGAAGCUUGCUUCCACUGAGAAGAUAGUGGCGAACGGGUGAGUAACACGUGGGUAACCUGCCCAUAAGAGGGGGGAUAACAUCCGGAAACGGGUGCUAAUACCGCAUAGUUUUCUUGGUCGCAUGAUCGGGAAAGGAAAGACGGCCUUUGUGCUGUCGCUUAUGGAUGGACCCGCGGCGUAUUAGUUAGUUGGUGAGGUAACGGCUCACCAAGACGAUGAUACGUAGCCGACCUGAGAGGGUGAUCGGCCACAUUGGGACUGAGACACGGCCCAAACUCCUACGGGAGGCAGCAGUAGGGAAUCUUCCGCAAUGGACGAAAGUCUGACGGAGCAACGCCGCGUGAGUGAAGAAAGGUUUUCGGAUCGUAAAACUCUGUUGUCAGAGAAGAACAAAUUGGAGAGUAACUGCUCCAGCCUUGACGGUAUCUGACCAGAAAGCCACGGCUAACUACGUGCCAGCAGCGGC
rnacentral:rRNA from 1 species